rnacentral:rRNA from 1 species
UUGAACGCUGGCGGCAGGCCUAACACAUGCAAGUCGAGCGGUAGCACAGAGAGCUUGCUCUCGGGUGACGAGCGGCGGACGGGUGAGUAAUGUCUGGGAAACUGCCUGAUGGAGGGGGAUAACUACUGGAAACGGUAGCUAAUACCGCAUAAUGUCGCAAGACCAAAGUGGGGGACCUUCGGGCCUCAUGCCAUCAGAUGUGCCCAGAUGGGAUUAGCUAGUAGGUGGGGUAACGGCUCACCUAGGCGACGAUCCCUAGCUGGUCUGAGAGGAUGACCAGCCACACUGGAACUGAGACACGGUCCAGACUCCUACGGGAGGCAGCAGUGGGGAAUAUUGCACAAUGGGCGCAAGCCUGAUGCAGCCAUGCCGCGUGUGUGAAGAAGGCCUUCGGGUUGUAAAGCACUUUCAGCGGGGAGGAAGGCGUUAAGGUUAAUAACCUUGGCGAUUGACGUUACCCGCAGAAGAAGCACCGGCUAACUCCGUGCCAGCAGCCGCGGUAAUACGGAGGGUGCAAGCGUUAAUCGGAAUUACUGGGCGUAAAGCGCACGCAGGCGGUCUGUCAAGUCGGAUGUGAAAUCCCCGGGCCCAACCUGGGAACUGCAUUCGAAACUGGCAGGCUAGAGUCUUGUAGAGGGGGGUAGAAUUCCAGGUGUAGCGGUGAAAUGCGUAGAGAUCUGGAGGAAUACCGGUGGCGAAGGCGGCCCCCUGGACAAAGACUGACGCUCAGGUGCGAAAGCGUGGGGAGCAAACAGGAUUAGAUACCCUGGUAGUCCACGCCGUAAACGAUGUCGAUUUGGAGGUUGUGCCCUUGAGGCGUGGCUUCCGGAGCUAACGCGUUAAAUCGACCGCCUGGGGAGUACGGCCGCAAGGUUAAAACUCAAAUGAAUUGACGGGGGCCCGCACAAGCGGUGGAGCAUGUGGUUUAAUUCGAUGCAACGCGAAGAACCUUACCUGGUCUUGACAUCCACAGAACUUAGCAGAGAUGCUUUGGUGCCUUCGGGAACUGUGAGACAGGUGCUGCAUGGCUGUCGUCAGCUCGUGUUGUGAAAUGUUGGGUUAAGUCCCGCAACGAGCGCAACCCUUAUCCUUUGUUGCCAGCGGUUAGGCCGGGAACUCAAAGGAGACUGCCAGUGAUAAACUGGAGGAAGGUGGGGAUGACGUCAAGUCAUCAUGGCCCUUACGACCAGGGCUACACACGUGCUACAAUGGCAUAUACAAAGAGAAGCGACCUCGCGAGAGCAAGCGGACCUCAUAAAGUAUGUCGUAGUCCGGAUUGGAGUCUGCAACUCGACUCCAUGAAGUCGGAAUCGCUAGUAAUCGUAGAUCAGAAUGCUACGGUGAAUACGUUCCCGGGCCUUGUACACACCGCCCGUCACACCAUGGGAGUGGGUUGCAAAAGAAGUAGGUAGCUUAACCUUCGGGAGGGCGCUUACCACUUUGUGAUUCAUGACUGGGGUGAAGU